GCGCGUCGAUGACUAAUUAGCCACCCACGUUUACCAGCGUCUGCGGACGUGUCGCUGGCACGAAAAUACGGAUGAAGAUACACCCGGGGAGCGUAAUCGCGAGAACGAGAGCGCUACGAAACUAAUAAUAUUAGUUGGAACGAUAAAUGCGCACCGACACGCGCCGAUGAACGCGAAACGAAAACAAAUCCGGCGGAGUUUGUGACCACACUGUGGAUGCGGUUCCCGGGAGAUGCAGUUUCGAUGGAUGCGAAUACUGUACCGGAAGAUCCGAUUUGGGCCGGGCAGGGUCGGCUCGAAGAUCUGUAGCAGAAUGUGCCUUCGAUCUUGAGAGUCCCAAGUAUUUCGGUCAGAUGCAAAGAUGCAAAUUAGUGGAUCUGUCAGUGAUUGAUGUUCAUAAGAAAUCAAUGCGAUUCACUUGUAGACUUAGCUUGUGUGCGUGCAUGUACUGAGAAAAAAUUAAUUUUCUUACAAAUCACAGUCAUUGACGGCGUCAAUCAUACUUUUUAUUAUACUGAUGAAAAAGUAGUAAUGAGAUAUUUUUAUCGGUAAUAUAAUGACAUUUAUUACAAAAAUAGAUUUCCCGACUAUAAUUAUCUGUACCACUA